rnacentral:rRNA from 1 species
AUUGAACGCUGGCGGCAGGCCUAACACAUGCAAGUCGAACGGUAACAGGAAGACGCUUGCUUCUUUGCUGACGAGUGGCGGACGGGUGAGUAAUGUCUGGGAAACUGCCUGAUGGAGGGGGAUAACUACUGGAAACGGUAGCUAAUACCGCAUAACGUCGCAAGACCAAAGAGGGGGACCUUCGGGCCUCUUGCCAUCGGAUGUGCCCAGAUGGGAUUAGCUAGUAGGUGGGGUAACGGCUCACCUAGGCGACGAUCCCUAGCUGGUCUGAGGGGAUGACCAGCCACACUGGAACUGAGACACGGUCCAGACUCCUACGGGAGGCAGCAGUGGGGAAUAUUGCACAAUGGGCGCAAGCCUGAUGCAGCCAUGCCGCGUGUAUGAAGAAGGCCUUCGGGUUGUAAAGUACUUUCAGCGGGGAGGAAGGGAGUAAAGUUAAUACCUUUGCUCAUUGACGUUACCCGCAGAAGAAGCACCGGCUAACUCCGUG